rnacentral:rRNA from 1 species
UACGAAGGGGGCUAGCGUUGCUCGGAAUCACUGGGCGUAAAGCGCACGUAGGCGGCUUUCUAAGUCAGGGGUGACAUCCUGGAGCUCAACUCCAGAACUGCCUUUGAUACUGGGAAGCUUGAGUUCGGGAGAGGUGAGUGGAACUGCGAGUGUAGAGGUGAAAUUCGUAGAUAUUCGCAAGAACACCAGUGGCGAAGGCGGCUCACUGGCCCGAUACCGACGCUGCGGUGCGAAAGCGUGGGGAGCAAACAGG